CCUACGGGAGGCAGCAGUGAGGAAUAUUGGUCAAUGGCCGGAAGGCUGAACCAGCCAUGCCGCGUGAAGGUCAGUGCCCUAUGGGCGUUAAACUUCUUUUGUGCGGGAGCAAUAAUGGUCACGUGUGGCCAGACGAGAGUACCGUACGCAUAAGCAUCGGCUAACACCGUGCCAGCAGCCGCGGUAAUACGGGGGAUGCAAGCGUUAUCCGCAUAUUUUGGGGUUAAAGGGUGCGUAGGCUGUGAGGUAAGUCAGCGGUGAAAUGCCCCGGCGCAACGGGGUGAAGUGCCAUUGAUACUGGCUGGCUGGAAUGCGCAUGCCGUGAGAGGAAUGUGUGGUGUAGCGGUGAAAUGCAUAGAUAUCACACAGAACACCGAUUGCGAAGGCAGCUCACGAAGCCGCGAUUGACGCUGAUGCACGAAAGCGUGGGUAUCAAACAGGAUUAGAUACCCCAGUAGUC
rnacentral:rRNA from 1 species